rnacentral:rRNA from 1 species
UACCAGCACCCCGAGUGGUCGGGACGAUUAUCGGGCCUAAAGCAUCCGUAGCCGGUUUUACAAGUCCUCCGUUAAAUCCAGCUGCUUAACAGAUGGGCUGCGGAGGAUACUAUAAGACUAGGAGGCAGGAGAGGCAAGCGGUACUCAGUGGGUAGGGGUAAAAUCCGUUGAUCCAUUGAAGACCACCAGUGGCGAAGGCGGCUUGCCAGAAUGCGCUCGACGGUGAGGGAUGAAAGCUGGGGGAGCAAACCGG